UACGAAGGGAGCUAGCGUUGUUCGGAAUCACUGGGCGUAAAGCGCACGUAGGCGGAUGUGUCAGUCAGGGGUGAAAUCCCGGAGCUCAACUUCGGAACUGCCUUUGAUACAGCACGUCUUGAGUCCGGAAGAGGUGGGUGGAAUUCCUAGUGUAGAGGUGAAAUUCGUAGAUAUUAGGAAGAACACGGUGGCGAAGGCGGCCCACUGGUCCGGUACUGACGCUGAGGUGCGAAAGCGUGGGGAGCGAACAGG
rnacentral:rRNA from 1 species